AUGAAAGAAAGAUCACGUACAAAUAAAAUUAAGUCAUUGCGGAAGCCAGAUGGUACGGUUGCGACCGAGCAACACGAGUUGGAAGCAAUUGCUAUGAAUUUUUACAUAGAUCUGUUUACGGCACAGCAAGAGACUCAUCCGGAGCUAGCAACAGAGUUGGUUCAGUGUAAAGUUUCACAAGAAAUGAAUGAAAAGCUGUGUUCUGUUAUCACAAAUGAGGAGAUUGAAAGAGCUCUUUUCAUGAUGCAUCCAAACAAGUCCCCAGGUCCAGAUGGUUUUACAGCAGGUUUUUACAUUCACCAUUGGCAUCUUUUGAAAGAUGUUGUUUGCAAUGUUGUGCGUUCUUUUCUUGAAGGCGGUGAUAUGCCGGAGGUGGUUAAUUCUACUGUUUUGGUCCUUAUUCCAAAAAUAAAAAAUCCGCAAGACCUUACACAGUACAGGCCAAUCUCAUUAUGUAACGUGCUCUAUAAACUAGCUUCAAAAGUUCUUGCUUUGAGGCUAAGACCAGUACUGCAUCAUAUCAUCACGGAAGAACAAACAGCGUUUGUCCAAGGACGAUUGAUUUCAGACAAUGUUCUUACGGCUUAUGAGUGUAUUCACUACCUCAAGAAGAAAAAGGGCAAAUCUGGUGAUGUGACAGUUAAGUUGGACAUGGCCAAGGCAUAUGAUAGGGUAGAAUGGUCUUAUCUACGUGCGAUGAUGAACAAGUUGAGGUUUGCAGAAGCAUGGAUCGAUAGAGUUAUGGUAUGUGUGCAGUCAGUAUCUUUUUCUGUGCGCGUGAAUGGGCAAUUUUCUUCCACUUUCAGACCCACUCGAGGAAUUAGGCAGGGCGAUCCAAUAUCUCCCUACUUAUUUCUUAUUUGUACGGAAGGAUUGAGUUGUUUGCUGAAAUUUAAAGGUCCGGUACAUCUUUCUCGAGGUGUAAGAGUUGGCGUUCAUGCUCCAUGGGUCUCACACCUACUAUUCGCCGAU
rnacentral:rRNA from 1 species